rnacentral:lncRNA from 1 species
UGCACAUUGGUCAGGGGUGGGUACGAGAUGAAGGCGCCCGCCUCGUCGAAGGAUGGCACGCUCACUGCCUCCCCUUCAGUGCAUCUCUCCCCCAUCUUGCCCAGGUGGCAGCGGCAACUGUAGCCAUGCCCAUCUGGCCGGCUGAUGCAGGUGGCAUCGGGCCCGCAUGCCUCUGGGUGGCAAUGCAGGGCCUGUGAGUACUCGCAGUUGCUGCCGGUGAAGCCCUGGGGACAGCGGCAGAUGUAGGUGCUGCUCUCCGCGUCCUCGCAGAUGCCACCGUUCUGUGGGGUGGGGACACAGAUAAGCACCAGGAACAGGACCAGUGGAAGGGGACAGUGUGCAUCAUCUCCAGCCUCACCUGGCAGGGCUGAUCCUGGCACGUGGGACAGUUGGAGACGCCAUGUGCCUGCAAGUCCAGCUCCCCAAAGGCCACCUCCUCGUUCUGGAUGCGCAGCUGGCGCACACAGCCUGUGGAACGCAGCGGGGGGACACACUCAGCCCCACC